GGCAAGCGUCCUUACAUUUGAUUUUCGUGAGCUGUGGCGGUAUGGGGGGUGAUGCUGUGUGUUGCAAUUAUGGCUAAAAGGGAACGAAAUUCGAUCGAGCCUAUCAAUCCUACGGAUUGUGCACGCUAUGGAGAAAAGUUAACCCACGAUGGCACGCGGCUGCCUGAUCCAUGCUACCAGAUUCCGGCGGAGAAGUGAUCGAGGGACGUCAGUGCGGUGCCCAGCGUUACUUUUCCAGAUAUAUUUGUGUACUGUGUCCUUCAGACGGGAUUCUACAUAAGUCAAGACUUGAAGGCUUACUGCGCCCUGGAAGCCCACAACUAUUUUGAGAAUGGAUUUGUUCAAGGCGUUGAAACAGUUGAGGCAAACCAAAUAUUGUGUUUAUGAAGGCAAAAGUCCUGCUGAGUCAGUGUGUUGGGCAAAAGGCUGAGCCCUAUGUAGCAUGGAUACUAAGCAAGAAGAAUGGUGAAGUUCUUAGUGCACACUGUACCUGUAUGGCUGGGCUGGAUGAGACCUGCAGCCAUGUUGCAGCUGUCCUCUUCAAAGCCUAAGCUGCUGUGAUGCUAGAGCUUAACAAGGCAUCAUGCACUAGUGAGGCCUGCAGGUCGAACAGCUCUUUUCGGAAGAAUGUAACUGUGUCUAAGAUAUCAGACAUGGAGCUGACCCGCUUAGGUGGUAAGAGAAAGAGGCCAGCUGCUGUUCAGCUCAGCCCAUCAGCAGUCGCCCAGAUACAUGAGGAGAUCAGGGCAUUUGGAGCACAGCAUGGGUGUGUCUAUAUGACAUCACUGGAUGAGGCUGGUGCUUCUUAAGAUACUCCAGGCUUGCCAUUCAUUGUGGCUAAGAUGUGUGAUAUUAGCCACCUGAAUAGAUCAGGGGCAUCUGAUCAGGGACAAAUGGAGCAUCAACAUGUUCAUACAGAUAACGAAAAAUGUGUUCGCAGGAAGCACUUAUAAUCAUCAAGCUACUGAUGUGGAAUUUUGUGGUGAACAUAAUGCUGUUCUUUGAAAGCCUAUGUGGUGAACUGUCGAAAUGCAAUGGCCUGAAAAGUGAAGACGUGCACACGGGACUUAUUCGCCAUCGCCAUAGGACGGCAAGAACGUCGGACUGUGUUCGUUCCGAUAACGAAAAAACUGCUAGUGACAGGUAUAUAUGACCUUUGAGCCGAUUGCGAAAAAUAUAAAAGUGUGAUGAUGUAGGUGGCAACCUUAAGCGGCAAGUCAUUACAAUGCACUUCGAUUUUACAUGCUCUACGCGUCGUGGUCGUGCCGCCGCUGGUGGUGCUGGUGGGUGGUGAGCGCAGCGAGUUUGUUGUCUACUGCACUUGAUUUUUUCGCGCUAGAUGCGCAAGACAUCAUGCUUCAGACGGGCGGUGACGGUCAGAGAGAAGCGAACGCGACCCGACCACCAGUGUCGUGACGCUGCACUUCGUGAAGGGGACCUCGGACCGAAUAUAGCUACCUUUUCACUCCCGUUCUCCGAUGGACGUUGGUGAAAGGAAGAACGCUGCUCCCAAGACCGAAGCGUUACAGCCUGUGACGAGUGUGAAUACAGAAGUGACUUUGGACUUGCUGAGCGUACCAGUGAGCCAGAGGCAAGAUACCAGAACAGUAGAACUUCCAUAUCUACAUUCUGCCGUGCUCGAUCUGUUCCUGUCUACAGGGCCGGCCAUGCUCGUUCCGUACCUGCCUAUAUUCCAGCGUGCUCGGUCUGCCUGUCUGCGAGGCCGGCCGUGCUCGAUCCGCACCUGUGCGUGGGGCUGACAGUGCUUGGUUCCUUCUGUGUGCUUGUGAGUGUCGAGCCACGCAUGCUGAGUUCUUGAAAGGUUUAUGUGCAUUCAUUUGUGUAACGUCAAUGUGGCACGCGAGUAGAAUUAUAGAUAGCCAAACCAGGGUGCGGGGCAUGAUAUGUAUCUGUGAUAACUUUCUUUUUAGUCGGAACAACACUGGCUGUACAAAUGA
rnacentral:lncRNA from 1 species